rnacentral:rRNA from 1 species
UACAGAGGUGGCAAGCGUUGUUCGGAAUUACUGGGCGUAAAGGGCGCGUAGGCGGUCUUCUAAGUCUUGUGUGAAAUCCCUCGGCUUAACUGAGGAACUGCACGGGAUACUGGAUGACUUGAGUUCGGGAGAGGGAAGCGGAAUUCCGGGUGUAGCGGUGAAAUGCGUAGAUAUCAGGAGGAACACCGGUGGCGAAGGCGGGUCUCUGGGCCGAUACUGACGCUGAGGAGCGAAAGCGUGGGGAGCGAACAGG